GGACUAGGUGCGCCAUAAGCCCCAAAAAACUUAAAUGGUCCACUGUCUUUGUAAUUAAAACCAAAAAAGUUGACUGUCUGCCACUAACACUAAAAUUAAAGAAACCCCCCAUUUCUUUAAUCCCAUUCUGCCGAAUUCAAAAAAGAAAACCAAGGGGUUCGGCCCCCUUUCUCCUUCUGCUAGGGCGCAGCGCCCAUUAUCGCAGCGUUUCCCUUCCCCUGCGCGCUCAUCGGCGACCGUCGGAAACCAGGUGUUGUUGCGGAUAUCUCGGAAGCACGAGGCGUGACAAAGAGGGACUGCUGGUAGCGCACGUCUCGGAGGUGCGGUGGAUGGUGGAGUGGGACGUUGGUGAGAGGCGUGCGACGCGAGAGCUAAAGCAACAGCUUUAGGUUUCUGUUUGUUUGGGCCUUGUUUAGGUUUAUUUUUGGGCCUGUGUUUUAGAUGUAAAUGGGUCUUGGGUUUGGGAGCUUUGGGCCCGGGCAUAAAUUUGAUCCUACAGCCUUUUUUUUUGUAAGAGUUUGAAUUCAGCAUACCAACUUCAUUCUUGAUAAGAAAA